UUGAGUGGCUAUUUAAAUUCCGAGCGCUCGUCGAUCAAGGUGACGCGCGUCGCCACUAAUGUAUUGGCCGAGCAAACAAUGAGCUGGUAGGCAGACGGCGGUGGACAGCUCCGGGGUCGAAUGAAGAGCCGGGAACUGCAAACACGGCGUCUUCCAACCCCUGCUGUGCACUCUCCAAACCGAGAAGACAUUAGCGUUCAACUCUCUACAACCUCAUCACAGGGACGACCCAGGACUCUGACCUCAGGAUCUCCAGAAGGGCCCCGGUGACAUUUUUAUUAUUAUGGAUGUUCCCACGCAGAUGAGAGGAGGGGAGACAGGGCCACCCUCGAAUUUUCUUCAUGUCGGGGUAAAAAAAAAAAAAAAAAAAACAGGAGGGGAAAAGAAAAAAAUCAAGUAGCAUUUAUUUAAUAUUGGAGUUUAUCUGCGGCCAUAUCCCUGUGUGGUAUUGAAAGGCGAUUAUGGGCAAUGAUUCAACAUUAUUUUGUAAGGAAAAAAAUAAAUGUAUCAGUCUUCUCCUAAAUUAUUCACCUUCUCUCUCUCUCUCUCUCUCUCUUUUUUGUUCCUGAAAGUACAAAUGUGUUUUUUCACUUCCGUUUUUUUAAACCUUGAGACAUAUAUUAAGUAAUAAGAAAGCUAAUGUCAUAUUUUUAUUUAUUUUUUUAUUUUAUCUAAGUUAAUAUCUUGUGUUUGAGUCUGUGGCAAUAUGCAAUGCGUCUGCACGUCUAAAUUAAAAUUGAAGGAUAUGAUUUCAUUAUAUUUCAAUUCUUUUAUUUAUUUCUUCGAACUGGAGCAGCAUGGAAUGUAUGACAUUGAAAAAAAAUGAUGUGAUGUGUGUUUCUUUUUUCUUCAAUAAAGAAACUGUUAACGUG